rnacentral:rRNA from 1 species
UUAACUCCCAACCCCUGUGACAUACCACUUGUUGCCUCGGCGGAUCAGCCCGCUCCCGGUAAAACGGGACGGCCCGCCAGAGGACCCCUAAACUCUGUUUCUAUAUGUAACUUCUGAGUAAAACCAUAAAUAAAUCAAAACUUUCAACAACGGAUCUCUUGGUUCUGGCAUCGAUGAAGAACGCAGCAAAAUGCGAUAAGUAAUGUGAAUUGCAGAAUUCAGUGAAUCAUCGAAUCUUUGAACGCACAUUGCGCCCGCCAGUAUUCUGGCGGGCAUGCCUGUUCGAGCGUCAUUUCAACCCUCAAGCCCUCGGGUUUGGUGUUGGGGAUCGGCGAGCCCUUGCGGCAAGCCGGCCCCGAAAUCUAGUGGCGGUCUCGCUGCAGCCUCCAUUGCGUAGUAGUAAAACCCUCGCAACUGGAACGCGGCGCGGCCAAGCCGUUAAACCCCCAACUUCUGAAUGUUGACCUCGGAUCAGGUAGGAAUACCCGCUGAACUUAAGCAUAUCAAUAAGCGGAGGAA